GUACACACCGCCCGUCGCUACUACCGAUUGAAUGGUUUAGUGAGGUCUCGGGACUGGUGUCUGCAGCUUUCACGAGCCGCGGAUGUCGGGAACUUGCUCAAACUUGAUCAUUUAGAGGAAGUAAAAGUCGUAACAAGGUAUUCGUAGGUGAACCUGCAGAAGGAUCA
rnacentral:rRNA from 1 species